rnacentral:rRNA from 1 species
CCUACGGGGGGCAGCAGUAGGGAAUCUUUCACAAUGGGCGAAAGCCUGAUGGAGCAACGCCGCGUGCAGGAUGAAGGCCUUCGUGUUGUAAACUUCUUUUAUAAGCGAGAAAUAUGAUGGUAACUUAUGAAUAAGGAUCGGCUAACUACGUGCCAGCAGCCGCGGUCAUACGUAGGAGCCGAGCAUUAUCCGGAGUGACUGGGUGUAAAGAGUUGCUUAGGUGGCAUAAUAAGUAGCUAGUGAAAGCUGGUGGGUCAACCAUUCAGACUACUAGCUAAACUGUUAAGCUCGAGGCCGUUAGGGGUAAGUGGAAUUUCUAGUGUAGGAGUGAAAUGCGUAGAUAUUAGGAGGAACACCAAUAGCGAAGGCAGGUUACUGGGACGGUUCUGACGCUGAGGCACGAAAGCGUAGGGAGCAAACAGGAUUAGAUACCCUGGUAGUC